GGCUUCAUGGUCGAGUGGUAGAAACAUUUACCUCUCACUCUAGAGUCCCGGGUUUGAUCCCCGGCCGAGGACU